rnacentral:rRNA from 1 species
AACGAACGCUGGCGGCAUGCCUAACACAUGCCAGUCGAACGAGACCUUCGGGUCUAGUGGCGCACGGGUGCGUAACGCGUGGGAACCUGCCCUUAGGUUCGGAAUAACUCCCCGAAAGGGGUGCUAAUACCGGAUAAUGUCUUCGGACCAAAGAUUUAUCGCCUUUGGAUGGGCCCGCGUUGGAUUAGCUAGUUGGUAGGGUAAAAGCCUACCAAGGCGACGAUCCAUAGCUGGUCUGAGAGGAUGAUCAGCCGCACUGGGACUGAGACACGGCCCAGACUCCUACGGGAGGCAGCAGUGGGGAAUAUUAGACGAUGGGCGAAAGCCUGAUCCAGCAAUGCCGCGUGAGUGAUGAAGGCCUUAGGGUUGUAAAGCUCUUUUACCCGGGAUGAUAAUGACAGUACCGGGAGAAUAAGCACCGGCUAACUCCGUG